rnacentral:rRNA from 1 species
AUUGAACGCUGGCGGCAGGCCUAACACAUGCAAGUCGAGCGAGCGGCGGACGGGUGAGUAAUGUAUGGGGACUGCCCGAUAGAGGGGGAUAACUACUGGAACCGGUGGCUAAUACCGCAUACUAGCGGAUAACCCAUAUGGGAUUUGCUAGGAGGUGGGGUAAAGGCUCACCUAGGCGACGAUCUGUAGCUGGUCUGAGAGGAUGAACAGCCACAAUGGAACUGAGACACGGCCCAGACGCCUACGGAGGCAGCAGUGGGGAAUAUUGCACAAUGGGCGCAAGCCUGAUGCAGCCAGGCCGCGUGUAUGAAGAAGGCCUGAGGGUUGGAAAGUACUUUAAGCGGGGAGGCGUUACCCGCAGAAGAAGCACCGGCUAACUCCGUGCCAGCAGCCGCGGUAAGUC